rnacentral:rRNA from 1 species
AGCAGCCGCGGUAAUUCCAGCUCCAAUAGUGUAUAUUAAAGUUGUUGCAGUUAAAAAGCUCAAUGUGUUGGUCGUGCCUUGGUACGUACUAGUUUAUUGAUUUCUUCCUUCUGAUGAAUCAUGAUGUCAUUAAUUUGGUGUCAUGGAGAAUCAGGACUGUUACUUUGAAAAAAUUAGAGUGUUUAAAGCAGGCUCACGCUUGAAUACAUUAGCAUGGAAUAAUGAAAUAGGACGUUUGAUUCUAUUUUGUUGGUUUCUAUGAUUGACGUAAUGAUUAAUAGGGAUAGUUGGGGGCAUUAGUAUUCAAUUGUUAGAGGUGAAAUUCUUGGAUUUAUUGAAGACUAACUACUGCGAAAGCAUUUGCUAAGGAUGUUUUCAUUAAUCAAGAACGAAAGUUAGGGGAUCGAAGACGAUCAGAUACCGUCGUAGUCUUAACCAUAAACUAUGCCGACUAGGGAUUGGAUGAUGUUAAUUUUUUAAUGUACUCAUUCGGCGCCUUACGGGAAAA